AUUGAACGCUGGCGGCAUGCCUUACACAUGCAAGUCGAACGGCAGCACGGGAGCAAUCCUGGUGGCGAGUGGCGGACGGGUGAGUAAAGUAUCGGAACGUGCCCAGUCGUGGGGGAUAACGUAGCGAAAGUUACGCUAAUACCGCAUACGAUCUAUGGAUGAAAGCGGGGGAUCGCAAGACCUCGCGCGAUUGGAGCGGCCGAUAUCGGAUUAGGUAGUUGGUGGGGUAAAGGCUCACCAAGCCGACGAUCUGUAGCUGGUCUGAGAGGACGACCAGCCACACUGGGACUGAGACACGGCCCAGACUCCUACGGGAGGCAGCAGUGGGGAAUUUUGGACAAUGGGCGAAAGCCUGAUCCAGCCAUGCCGCGUGCAGGAUGAAGGCCUUCGGGUUGUAAACUGCUUUUGUACGGAACGAAAAGGUUUGGGCUAAUAAGCUGAGCUCAUGACGGUACCGUAAGAAUAAGCACCGGCUAACUACGUGCCAGCAGCCGCCGUAA
rnacentral:rRNA from 1 species